CGCCGUUCUGGUUGACGACACGCGGCGGUGCUGUGCAGGGGCCCUGGAGAGAGCUGGAAACUCUGCAGCCUUCCUCGCCCUCCCAGCAAGCCCAACCCUGCCUGGCUCCAGAUCGGUCAUGCCUGGAUGGGUUUAAAGAGCCGCAAUCCAUUCUGAUGGAGAAGUUAUAAACUUCAUUCUGCAAGCUUGGAUAAGAUACAGCUGGGGCUCUGGUGUGGACCCAACAGCCCAGAAGUUGCCUGCAACCAGUUGAAAUGACCUGAAGCUGACCUUACCUGCUGCCUGACCUGUUUCUACAUCCUAAGAUGCUUAUUGCACAACCAGAAACCUCCUGUCGAAAAUACAGCUGGAAGCCAGCGUAAAUGGAGGGUAAGCGUGGAAAAC
rnacentral:lncRNA from 1 species